AGUCGAAAGGUGACUGCCGCAAGAUGAAGUCCAUAUACUUAAUAUUCAUUUUGUUCAUUCUGAGUGCGUAUUGCAGAACUAUAAUUGAUAAAAGUGAAGUUGUUAGUAGAAAUGGUGUUAGUGGAAGGACGAAACGUAGUGUUAUUGUUGAUUAUAAAUGUCCUGUGGGAUAUAUAAAAGUGUCGCCACGUUUGAUGAUUUGUGUGCCGUGUCAACAGCUCAAAGGCAGUUUCUGCUAAAAUAUUGCUCAAUGAAAACGAACCACGUUGGACUGAAAAAUAUAUUACUAUUAUAUUUAUAGUUUCAUAUAAAGAUGGCGGUCUGGAUGAAGGAGAUACCCGUCUAUUCAAACAAAACAGGCAUUUAAUAGCUUGUAGUUGAUAAUUUGAGAUGAUUUUCAAUCUUCAUGUAACAAGAAGAUAAUUAACUUGCUAUCCAUCUCUUUCUUUUAUAUUGAAUGAUAUGAGAUAGCAUGUGUGUAGUUUUAAUUCUUGUUUGAAGAUUGAAAUUGCAAACGAUUGUAUCAUGGAAAGAAAACGUUUUUUUUGUAAAGUUUUAAGUCGAAAUAUUAUAAAUGUAUUCUAAUUUUCCUACUACCUACUAUGUAUUUAUGUAUUAUAACGUUAACACUAAUUGUUAUUAUUAUUUAUAGGGUUGAUUUGCUCGCCAUUUUUGCCAUAUUUCAAAUACUUAUAGGUAUCUAUAUAGAUAAAAUAGUUAAUUUAUUGGUCACAUCCUGUCCAAAAAUUUAUAAGUUAUAGUCAACGCAGUAAAUUUUAUGAAUCAUGUAAGGAUGUGAUAUAUAAAGUAAUUUGUAAUUGAAAAAAUGUUCCGUACAUUCCAAUAUGCGAAAUAAUAUCUACAGAUAAAAAAUAAUGUAGCAUCAUACAAUGUAUGACCCAUAAAAUUGUAAAAAAUGUUAACAAAAAAGCUUUUGAUUUUUUCAGUCGAAAAUCAGAUGUUUUAACUGAAUAAUUUCUUGCCUCUUUAAAGAAUUUGUAUAAAAAUGUAAUUUUUCAGAAUAGAUCAGUUAGUAACCAAAGAAGUAAAACAUCACAUUUCUAUGUUUAAAUUCUUACCUAACUAUUUUAGUAAAUACUAUUUAAACUUUUUUUGUAAAUUAUGAAGACGAUGUAGAAAAUUGUAAGUGUUGAACAGUUAAUUUAAAGAAAAUAUACUUUUUGUAUAAU